GACGAACGCUGGCGGCGUGCUUAACACAUGCAAGUCGAACGGAAAGGCCCUGCUUUUGUGGGGUGCUCGAGUGGCGAACGGGUGAGUAACACGUGAGUAACCUGCCCUUGACUUUGGGAUAACUUCAGGAAACUGGGGCUAAUACCGGAUAGGAGCUCCUGCUGCAUGGUGGGGGUUGGAAAGUUUCGGCGGUUGGGGAUGGACUCGCGGCUUAUCAGCUUGUUGGUGGGGUAGUGGCUUACCAAGGCUUUGACGGGUAGCCGGCCUGAGAGGGUGACCGGCCACAUUGGGACUGAGAUACGGCCCAGACUCCUACGGGAGGCAGCUGUGGGGAAUAUUGCACAAUGGGCGGAAGCCUGAUGCAGCAACGCCGCGUGCGGGAUGACGGCCUUCGGGUUGUAAACCGCUUUCGCCUGUGACGAAGCGUGAGUGACGGUAAUGGGUAAAGAAGCACCGGCUAACUACGUGCCAGCAGCCGCGGUGAUACGUAGGGUGCGAGCGUUGUCCGGAUUUAUUGGGCGUAAAGGGCUCGUAGGUGGUUGAUCGCGUCGGAAGUGUAAUCUUGGGGCUUAACCCUGAGCGUGCUUUCGAUACGGGUUGACUUGAGGAAGGUAGGGGAGAAUGGAAUUCCUGGUGGAGCGGUGGAAUGCGCAGAUAUCAGGAGGAACACCAGUGGCGAAGGCGGUUCUCUGGGCCUUUCCUGACGCUGAGGAGCGAAAGCGUGGGGAGCGAACAGGCUUAGAUACCCUGGUAGUCCACGCUGUAAACGGUGGGUACUAGGUGUGGGGUCCAUUCCACGGGUUCCGUGCCGUAGCUAACGCUUUAAGUACCCCGCCUGGGGAGUACGGCCGCAAGGCUAAAACUCAAAGGAAUUGACGGGGCCCCGCACAAGCGGCGGAGCAUGCGGAUUAAUUCGAUGCAACGCGUAGAACCUUACCUGGGUUUGACAUGGAUCGGGAGCGCUCAGAGAUGGGUGUGCCUCUUUUGGGGUCGGUUCACAGGUGGUGCAUGGCUGUCGUCAGCUCGUGUCGUGAGAUGUUGGGUUAAGUCCCGCAACGAGCGCAACCCUUGUUCACUGUUGCCAGCACGUUAUGGUGGGGACUCAGUGGAGACCGCCGGGGUCAACUCGGAGGAAGGUGGGGAUGACGUCAAGUCAUCAUGCCCCUUAUGUCCAGGGCUUCACGCAUGCUACAAUGGCUGGUACAGAGAGUGGCGAGCCUGUGAGGGUGAGCGAAUCUCGGAAAGCCGGUCUCAGUUCGGAUUGGGGUCUGCAACUCGACCUCAUGAAGUCGGAGUCGCUAGUAAUCGCAGAUCAGCAACGCUGCGGUGAAUACGUUCCCGGG
rnacentral:rRNA from 1 species